rnacentral:rRNA from 1 species
CGAACGAACUCUUCGGAGUUAGUGGCGGACGGGUGAGUAACACGUGGGAACGUGCCUUUAGGUUCGGAAUAACUCAGGGAAACUUGUGCUAAUACCGAAUGUGCCCUUCGGGGGAAAGAUUUAUCGCCUUUAGAGCGGCCCGCGUCUGAUUAGCUAGUUGGUGAGGUAAAGGCUCACCAAGGCGACGAUCAGUAGCUGGUCUGAGAGGAUGAUCAGCCACAUUGGGACUGAGACACGGCCCAAACUCCUACGGGAGGCAGCAGUGGGGAAUCUUGCGCAAUGGGCGAAAGCCUGACGCAGCCAUGCCGCGUGAAUGAUGAAGGUCUUAGGAUUGUAAAAUUCUUUCACCGGGGACGAUAAUGACGGUACCCGGAGAAGAAGCCCCGGCUAACUUCGUGCCAGCAGCCGCGGUAAUACGAAGGGGGCUAGCGUUGCUCGGAAUUACUGGGCGUAAAGGGAGCGUAGGCGGACAUUUAAGUCAGGGGUGAAAUCCCGGGGCUCAACCUCGGAAUUGCCUUUGAUACUGGGUGUCUUGAGUAUGAGAGAGGUGUGUGGAACUCCGAGUGUAGAGGUGAAAUUCGUAGAUAUUCGGAAGAACACCAGUGGCGAAGGCGACACACUGGCUCAUUACUGACGCUGANGCUCGAAAGCGUGGG